UGGGGAAUUUUGCACAAUGGAGGAAACUCUGAUGCAGCGACGCCGCGUGAGUGAUGAAGAUCUUCGGAUUGUAAAACUCUGUCCUUAGUGAAGAUAAUGACAGUAACUAAGAAGCAAGCCCUGGCUAAAUACGUGCCAGCAGCCGCGGUAAUACGUAUGGGGCAAGCGUUGUCCGGAAUUAUUGGGCGUAAAGGGUACGUAGGCGGUUUAAUAAGUCCUAAUUAAAAGGCUAUGGCUCAACCAUAGUAUGGUUAGGAAACUGUUGAACUUGAGUAGAUGAGGGGAAAGUGGAAUUCCAUGUGUAGCGGUGAAAUGCGUAGAUAUAUGGAGGAACACCAAUUGCGAAGGCAACUUUCUGGAAUCCAACUGACGCUGAGGUACGAAGGCGUGGGGAGCAAACACG
rnacentral:rRNA from 1 species